ensembl:snRNA U6 U6 spliceosomal RNA
GUGCUCGCUUCGGCAGCACAUAUACUAAAAUUGGAAUGAUACAGAGAAGAUUAGCAUGGCCCCUGCGCAAGGAUGACACGCAAAAAAAGUGACACAGCUUCAAACUUG